rnacentral:rRNA from 1 species
GACGAACUCUGGCGGCGCGCCUAACACAUGCAAGUCGAACGAGCGAGAGAGAGCUUGCUUUCUCGAGCGAGUGGCGAACGGGUGAGUAACGCGUGAGGAACCUGCCUCAAAGAGGGGGACAACAGUUGGAAACGACUGCUAAUACCGCAUAAGCCCACGGCUCGGCAUCGAGCAGAGGGAAAAGGAGCAAUCCGCUUUGAGAUGGCCUCGCGUCCGAUUAGCUAGUUGGUGAGGUAAUGGCCCACCAAGGCGACGAUCGGUAGCCGGACUGAGAGGUUGAACGGCCACAUUGGGACUGAGACACGGCCCAGACUCCUACGGGAGGCAGCAGUGGGGAAUAUUGCACAAUGGGGGAAACCCUGAUGCAGCGACGCCGCGUGGAGGAAGAAGGUCUUCGGAUUGUAAACUCCUGUUGUUGGGGAAGAUAAUGACGGUACCCAACAAGGAAGUGACGGCUAACUACGUGCCAGCAGCCGCGGUAAAACGUAGGUCACAAGCGUUGUCCGGAAUUACUGGGUGUAAGGGGAGCGCAGGCGGGAAGACAAGUUGGAAGUGAAAUCUAUGGGCCCAACCCAUAAACUGCUUUCAAAACUGUUUUUCUUGAGUAGUGCAGAGGUAGGCGGAAUUCCCGGUGUAGCGGUGGAAUGCGUAGAUAUCGGGAGGAACACCAGUGGCGAAGGCGGCCUACUGGGCACCAACUGACGCUGAGGCUCGAAAGUGUGGGUAGCAAACAGGAUUAGAUACCCUGGUAGUCCACACCGUAAACGAUGAUUACUAGGUGUUGGAGGAUUGACCCCUUCAGUGCCGCAGUUAACACAAUAAGUAAUCCACCUGGGGAGUACGACCGCAAGGUUGAAACUCAAAGGAAUUGACGGGGGCCCGCACAAGCAGUGGAGUAUGUGGUUUAAUUCGACGCAACGCGAAGAACCUUACCAAGUCUUGACAUCCCUUGACAGACAUAGAAAUAUGUUUUCUCUUCGGAGCAAGGAGACAGGUGGUGCAUGGUUGUCGUCAGCUCGUGUCGUGAGAUGUUGGGUUAAGUCCCGCAACGAGCGCAACCCUUAUGGUCAGUUACUACGCAAGAGGACUCUGGCCAGACUGCCGUUGACAAAACGGAGGAAGGUGGGGAUGACGUCAAAUCAUCAUGCCCUUUAUGACUUGGGCUACACACGUACUACAAUGGCGUUAAACAAAGAGAAGCAAGACCGCGAGGUGGAGCAAAACUCAGAAACAACGUCCCAGUUCGGACUGCAGGCUGCAACUCGCCUGCACGAAGUCGGAAUUGCUAGUAAUCGUGGAUCAGCAUGCCACGGUGAAUACGUUCCCGGGCCUUGCAC